rnacentral:lncRNA from 1 species
GUAACAGAUUGUAUUUCCAUUUCAGCUGCCCUUUCACCAAUGUGCAAGAAGUAGGUCACAUGGCAAGGCCAUUAAAUUGUUGUUCUAAUUAUCCUCAUCGAAGGAAGAAAAAUUGAUUACAGGGAAUAAAAAGGCACUGGCUAUGAGGCAGCAUUUCUGGAUUCUAACUUGCAGCUGACUCUGGCCCCCUGGAAAAGCUUGAUGGGCUCUCCCUUAAUUUCUCUGGACUACAGAUUACUUAUUCAUUGAGCAGGGAGAUUAGUUCCAAAAUAAUUGGCUUUCCAAGUCAGAAUUACAAUCAAGAUUUCCUGACUUCAGGCCUGGGACAUCCCGGGGCCCUGUGGUUCUUCUCGAACCCUCCCAUACCGUUUAUUAAAUUGUACUGUGUGAGCCAGGGCUGUCCUCAGGACUCAGGGCUGAGCGCUGGUGCUCUUUAAGCUGUGGGCUCAGCAUUGCAGUUCUAUCCUAUCUUGCCUCCACUACCCUCGGGAAUCAAGCAGAAAAGCACCUGGAGGAGAGUUCAGUAUUGGGAGGCUUAAGAGCUACUGACUUCUGGGGAAUGAGCGAUGUGAACGGGAGUCACAGGCUCUGGACCUCGCUGCCUGAACCGGGAUCCCUACUGGACCACUUACUAUCUGGCCUUGGAUGAGUUAAUUAAUCUCCUUAUGCCUCAGCUUCUGCACCGGUAAAAUGAGGCAAAUAACAGGAAAUAUCCCCCCCGGUUGGUGUGAGGAGUAAAUGAGACAACACAUAUGAAAAAGUGGCACCUGAAAAAGAUUUCGAAAGGACUUACAGAGUUACAAGAGCUCAUAUGGAAUCACUAGGAACUGUAGAGAUUUUGUUUAAAGGGUGAAAAGAUUGAGGCCCAGAAUGGCUAAGGACUUUGCUCAAAGGCAUCGAGAGACUAGAGAUUGAAGAGAAACUGGAAUAGGGGUGUUCAUCAAAUGUCUGCAAGUUAAAUAAGAUGGAGAACAAUUUGGAACUCGAUCAGCAUUGCUGUGACUCUGUUUUCCUAAUGGAUUCUACCUAGUGAAGAAGAAAGCAACUGUAGAGAAGCCCGGAAGUACGCACCAUGAAACUUUUGCAAGGAUAUGCUUUGGGAAAAGGAGGAGGGCAUGCUGAAGUUUGCUAAGCCUAGCAGCAUCAGUUUAGCAACUACUCUCUGCAGCAAAGGGUAGAAACUCUCUUCCUGUUCAAUAAACUAGGCUUGGUUUUAAUGAGUGAGGAGAUAUUCAAAACCCCUCAUUUCUACCGAAACAAUGGAAUACAGUACCAAUGGGAAAACGGUUUAAUCU